rnacentral:lncRNA from 1 species
AAACCUCAAUAGAUUCAAAUACAGAAAGAAAACAAAGAUUUCUUCUUUCCAACACUACUACCAUGGUGUCCUGGACUUGCUAAAAAGGGGACCAAGUAAGCUGGCAAUCCCUUAUCAGAGAUCCCGGAUCCUCUUUGCAGACAAGCUAACAGUUUUUUUUUUUCUCAGUAGGCAAUGCUGUGAAAUGAAACUGUCAUACAUAUGUUAGUGUUUUUAGGGGAGACACUAUAUACUAAUGAGUAAUAAAAUCUAUAUGAGAAUAUUUUACACCAAAACUCAAAUAAAAUAUAGGAUGUGAUGUUCUAUCCAG